rnacentral:rRNA from 1 species
GGGGAAUAUUGGACAAUGGGCGAAAGCCUGAUCCAGCGACGCCGCGUGCGGGAAGAAGGCCUUCGGGUUGUAAACCGCUUUUAGCCGGGACGAAAGCUGUACGGAUAACACCCGUGCAGGUUGACGGUACCGGCGGAAUAAGCACCGGCUAACUACGUGCCAGCAGCCGCGGUAAUACGUAGGGUGCGAGCGUUAAUCGGAAUUACUGGGCGUAAAGUGUGCGCAGGCGGCCGCGCAAGUCGAGUGUGAAAGCCCCGAGCUUAACUUGGGAACUGCGCUCGAAACUACGUGGCUUGAGUGUGGCAGAGGGAGGUGGAAUUCCACGUGUAGCGGUGAAAUGCGUAGAGAUGUGGAGGAACACCGAUGGCGAAGGCAGCCUCCUGGGCCAACACUGACGCUCAUGCACGAAAGCGUGGGGAGCAAAC